GCCCGGGUAGCUCAAUCGGUAGAGCGUGUGGCUCUUAAUUAAUUGUAACCUCAAGGUCGCGGGUUCGAGCCCCGCCUCGGGCU
rfam:Blumeria graminis f. sp. tritici 96224 unplaced genomic scaffold Scaffold-14, whole genome shotgun sequence.